GGCUCAGGAUGAACGCUAGCGGCAGGCCUAACACAUGCAAGUCGAGGGGUAUAGGAAGCUUGCUUCCUUGAGACCGGCGCACGGGUGCGUAACGCGUAUGCAAUCUACCUUAUACAGGGGAAUAGCCCAGAGAAAUUUGGAUUAAUGCCCCAUAGUAUUAUAGAGUGGCCUCACUUUAUAAUUAAAGUUCCAACGGUAUAAGAUGAGCAUGCGUCCCAUUAGCUAGAUGGUAAGGUAACGGCUUACCAUGGCGACGAUGGGUAGGGGUCCUGAGAGGGGGAUCCCCCACACUGGUACUGAGACACGGACCAGACUCCUACGGGAGGCAGCAGUGAGGAAUAUUGGACAAUGGGCGCAAGCCUGAUCCAGCCAUGCCGCGUGCAGGAUGACGGUCCUAUGGAUUGUAAACUGCUUUUGUACAGGAAGAAACACUCCCUCGUGAGGGAGCUUGACGGUACUGUAAGAAUAAGGAUCGGCUAACUCCGUG
rnacentral:rRNA from 1 species